CUCAGUGCAUGCCGAAAUAAGGUGAAACNNGCNGAAUGGCUCAUUAAAUCAGUUAUGGUUCCUUGGAUCAUACAAAAAUUUACUUGGAUAACUGUGGUAAUUCUAGAGCUAAUACAUGCAAACUAGAGUUCCUCUCAGAGAUGGGAGGAACGCUUUUAUUAGAUCAAAACCAAUCGGUGGCGGGUGGUUCGCCAUUCGUUCAUCGUUUGCUUUGGUGACUCUGAAUAACUUUGUGCUGAUCGCACGGUCCUAGUACCGGCGACGCAUCUUUCAAAUGUCUGCCUUAUCAACUGUCGAUGGUAGGUUUUGCGCCUACCAUGGUUGUAACGGGUAACGGGGAAUCAGGGUUCGAUUCCGGAGAGGGAGCCUGAGAAACGGCUACCACAUCCAAGGAAGGCAGCAGGCGCGCAAAUUACCCACUCCCGGCACGGGGAGGUAGUGACGAAAAAUAACGAUACGGGACUCAUCCGAGGCCCCGUAAUCGGAAUGAGUACACUUUAAAUCCUUUAACAAGGAUCCAUUGGAGGGCAAGUCUGGUGCCAGCAGCCGCGGUAAUUCCAGCUCCAAUAGCGUAUAUUAAAGUUGUUGCGGUUAAAAAGCUCGUAGUUGAAUCUGUGUGCCACACUGUCGGUACACCGCUCGUCGUCUUACUGACACGAUGUGGGACGUCCUACCGGUGGGCUUAGCUUUGCCUUGUGCUUGGCGGUCCAACUAUACAUCCCAUCGCGGUGCUCUUCAUUGAGUGUCGAGGUGGGCCGGUACGUUUACUUUGAACAAAUUAAAGUGCUUAAAGCAGGCUACUCUCGCCUGAAUAUUCUGUGCAUGGAAUAAUGGAAUAGGACCUCGGUUCUAUUUUGUUGGUUUUCGGAACCCCGAGGUAAUGAUUAAUAGGGACAGAUGGGGGCAUUCGUAUUGCGACGUUAGAGGUGAAAUUCUUGGAUCGUCGCAAGACGGACAGAAGCGAAAGCAUUUGCCAAAAAUGUUUUCAUUAAUCAAGAACGAAAGUUAGAGGUUCGAAGGCGAUCAGAUACCGCCCUAGUUCUAACCAUAAACGAUGCCAGCCAGCGAUCCGCCGAAGUUCCUCCGAUGACUCGGCGGGCAGC
rnacentral:rRNA from 1 species